GGAAGUGGGAAAGAGCUCUAGGGGAACCUGAGGGCUUGGGUGGAAGACUGGAGAGCCAGGAGGAGCAAGGAGCAGGAAGCAAGUAAAGAAGCCGGCCCAAACCCAUCAAGACCAAGAUGAUGACAUGAGUGACCUCUGAUUGUCCUCACUGCUACACUCCCACCAGCCCCCUGACGGUUUACAGAUGCCAUGGCAACAUCAGGAAGUUACCCUCUAUGCUCUAAAAACGGGAGACACGUGAGUUGUUUCCAGUUUUGGUGACGAAUGCCCAAAUUCAUAGGCGAUGAUAAAUAAUGUGCCAGACGUUGAUGUGCAAGUUUUGGUGUGAGGGAUUUCUCAGAGCCUUCAAUGUACUUUGUGAUUCUCCUAUAAGGAAUAAGG
rnacentral:lncRNA from 10 species